UCGUAUCAAUUAGAGUUAUAAUCGGAACGCUUUCAAACGAGUUCGCAUUUGUCUUGCACAUCCGGAUGCAGAUGCGCUGCAAGGUGCGAUCCUAAUUGGAGUUCUGGAGUACGUCCCUAACUAAUUACAAAUAUUCUAGCCCGUUCGGAGCGUAACCCUUUUCGCCCUAGUUUAAUAGAGUAAUUUUCGUCAAAAAUUUCCUUUGACGGGUUCCAAACAUUUUCGUUAAACGAGAGCCCAUGUACAGGAAAUGGGCCAAUUAUACGGUCUCGUAUCUUCAUCCACGUCCAUAGAAGAUGGAGCAAUUUUCGGUUUCGGUCCCAUGUGUCUAAUACGCUAUAUCGGUUCGGGUUGGAAGUGAAAUUGUUCACUCAUUAUUUCGGACGGUUGUUUUUCGUUCGCUCGCAAUAAUUAACAUGUCCAUGCGUAAUUGUGAUGCACCACGCGUUGUGGUGAGCGUAAGGCGGUGUCAAAAUGUAGUCUAAUUAAUAUGAAGUUAAACGCUCGAGAUGUAACGGGAGAGAUAGACGGGAUCAUAUCGUGACGAGGGUAUAGUUUCCUUCUAGAAGGUUUAUCAGGCACUCGCUCGUGUCUUUUAACGUAUUUUACGUCACUUCUUAACCAUUUUUGGGCGAUAAAUUUUAUUUUUAUGAACGCCCAAAUGUAUGCUACAUAGCUACAUGAGCUCUUUAAAGAUCUCUGUUUGGUAGAAUUUUUUAAGCGCAUUACCAUCCCGAAACGAUAUUUCUAAUCCAUUAAUCUCUGGCCAUCUUUAAUCUCAUCCAGCAAGCUCAUCCAGAAUCAUUUUAGGACCCUUUUUUUAUAAUCGCGUGCCAUGCUGGGGAAUAUUUAUAACCCUGCUCGUGUGACCGUGAUUAUUAUAGGGAGAAAUUUGAGGUCGAAAGCGCACACCAUCCAUCCCGCGGUAUCAUCCGUGUAUCCCAUUAAGCUUCUCAACAAUGGGAAAAUCAAUCGUUUCAACUGGAUGUUUUUCUAUUUGAGAAUGUGUCAUCGAGACAGACCGUGGCAAACCAAACCAAAGUUAUAACCAAAUAAAUAUCUCAUUUUUCAUUAAGACUAGCCCGGCGCUCUUCCUGUCUCGAUCACGAAACCCCACUGCUGUUUUGACAUCGGCGCACAGUAAAUCAAACUAACCCAUAAACCAACAACCGACAACAACAAGUGUGCUUGGGCUUGGGUCGUUGAUCACCAUCAUACGGGGAGGAGAAAAAACAUAUGCGUGGCCAUACCGCCCCAGUCAUCAUUAAAAAUGCGUUUUCUCAGCAUAAAAGCCAACCAAACCACACAACAGCAAAAAACCCCCAAACCGUCCACAUACGAUCGACUUUGAUCGAGCAUUGGUAUUCAGUUUUUGAUUAUUUUAAAAUUCAUUUUCUAAACUGCGAUGCGAUAUAUGUCACACAAACAAAGGAGGAAACUGUGUUCGCUGCCCGCAGAAUGAGAUGGUUUUCGAGACAUAAAAUAAUAAAGUCAUAAAUGUCCAUCCGUUGUGAGCGGCGGGGCCUGUGUGAGAAAAUGGUUUGGAGCAUUAGGCAUGGUCACAUCAAUUCGCGCCAUUCGGACGACGACGAUGUUCGGCACUUGUCGCACUGGUGGCGUUUUGGAGAGGAAAUGUUUUGUUGAGAGAAACGCCCCAUUUGCUUUUUUUUUAUUUAUUUAUUAACGAUCAACCUGGCAACCUGGCGAGAAAAUGGCUGUUCGCACUCUUUGAACCUCAUUUUCGAAAUCGUGCGCACCGAGCAAGGGUGAAGGGAAAUGAAAUAAAACAAAUACUAAAAGAGAAAUAAAAUAUCCCCCAUUUCGGGCCAAUCGGGUGGAUUUACAUAUUAUUCAAAUUACUGAACAGUGUAUCGUUUUGUGAAGAGCCCUCAUUAUCCCCCGUGAGCAACACCGUGAGACUCCUGAUCAGGUGUGGUUAAAGUGGUCAUGUUUUGUCGGAAUUGGAACUCGAAUUGGAGAAGGUUUAGGAUCGUAAAUGCAUUCAAAAACUCUGACUACCAAGAUGCACUUUCUUUUAGAGCUCCACAGUGAGUCAUCUGUUGGUUCAGAAAUAAAACACCCUCAAGUACGCGUCAACCAGCUAACCGGAUAACUCAAGUUGAACCAGCGAAUAUCCAGAUAAACCUUCCACACACACAGUGUGUAGCUAAAUUGAAAAAUAUGAAGGCACACACAAGCACAGGAAACAGCAGCAGCAACCACAAUAAAGCCACCCGUGGAAUGUGCUCAACAUAUGAUAAUUAGACUAAUUUACGACGAUCUUAUCGCCGCUUUUCAUUCCGUCCCGGGACACUAUUUAUGAUUAUUUUGCUCCGGUUGCCUUUUUUUUCUUUUCUCCCUGUUCUGUUUUCGGCAUUUGAAUUCUCAUUCGUGCUCUUGUAGUCGUGUUGUGUUUUUCCUGUUCUUCUCCAGUCCGGUGCCGUGUUAAUUUUUCCAUGUUCUUGUAUACUUGUAGGUCAUUCGUUAUGAGGCUCUCGGCUUCAUACUUGGGAGCAGCCGGGACGUUUGGCCGGGCUGGUGAUAAAUUAAAUUCGAACAAGUGACCAGUGUCCGUGGCGACACCAUAAAAAUAGGAUAAAUGAACCACAUGCACACACACACACACGCCGGCUAGGCGGGAAGCUAAGUAAAGAACUGUACGAGAGAGAAAAAAAACUGAGCUGGAUCAGGAUUGAAACAUGCGCGUGUGGACUGUCCUGGUGCUGGUGGACUGGACCGGUAGAAGGGUACUGAGGGUACAAUAUAUUGGGUGCAAUAUUACGGGACCGUUGCACUGUGGUGUUGGAAUUGAACAAAUAUUUCAUUCGACGUGCUUUAAAUGUAACUCCACUUCCAGUUACUAAAGCUCGGCCACACCAUCCUACAUGAUUUAAAUAAAUGUCCAUUUAAUCUCCGCAAGCCCAUCCAUUAUUGAUCGCCCCCAUAACCUUGAAUAAAUGAAUGGCUGGACCGGUGAGCCACGAAAAAAAAACAGCUCAACAAAAUGCAGCGGAAAAUUCUAUGGGAAAGGUUUAUUUAUCAUCAACCACGGCACAGCAGCAUGUGCUGCCAGGAAGCGACAAGUUGAUGUCUGUUCCGUCCCGCUGCAGGGCCCGAUUACUGUGCAAACCUGUGCACAUGGUCAUCAGUUGCAACAUUGCGUUUAAAAAAUGGAUGCGUAUGAAUAAGGAACGGUGGAGAACGUUCGGCGGACACGGCCGAUCGAGCUACAUUCCAGCGUUGAGGUAGGUCUCGGGCGUUGAUCGAUUUUAUUCGACUUUCUUCGAUCGGCCGGGCACUGGCAGCAGAAGGAGCCUUGUUGGCUAAAGGAGGCUGAUGCCCCGUAAUUUAUUCAUGCGAACCGGUCAAUCGAUGUGUGGUGGUGCCGGCCGCUGGGACGAUGGACGACAAUCUGAACUGUGGCAGAACGUACCGUUUUGGGGUCCGGGCUUAAAAGUACAGCUUGUGUUUAAAAUGGGCUUACUUGUACAACACGGUUCCAGCAAAUCCUUCCCCCAUCCUCACGUACAUAUAUUACUAAUCAUCGUCAAACCGUAUCAUUUAUUGAUGCGAAUCGCUUCACCAGCCGCAUCCCGUCACAUCAGGUGGAAAAUCGCUUGUACCGCACGUGAGAUUACUUUGGCCCUCCACCGAUCGUCAUGGGAAUGCGGCGGAUUAAUACACUCCAAUAUGUAUUAAUUUCAUUAGUCUCCGGCGUUUUCCACCUCACCCCACCCCCCUCCCCGCACGGGGGUUUUCAUGAAUUAAAGACGUGCACAACCAUUUCAAGAAUAGCAAAGCCGAGAGCGAGCGCGGCUUCACAUCCCUGCUGCAACACACAGGGCCUCCAUCCCGUAGCUACACAAUCGUAUCGUAAAUCAAUCACAGAACCGUGCGUGGAUUUUUCACGGUUAAUUACGCGCUCUUUUCCCGUUCAGUGCGUUUUUGCGCGUGUGCGUGAUUGAUUCCUUCGGCUGUAACGAGUGACGGGCACGCAUGUUCCGAUGGUAGAAUUGUAAAUUUUCAAUAAACCCAUACGCCUGGAAAGCACGACCCGAAAUGAGUUAAUCUAACCAACUACAAAAAAAAAAAAACGCAAACUGGGGGACGCAUUUGGUGCUUUUGACAAAUGUCACAAAUGCGGAUGUCGCAAGCGUAGGCGUUCGAUUGGAAUUCUGGCGAAGUAAACAUCACAUGAGCGAUCGGGAGCUCGGUAGGUUUCUUAAGACACGGCUCUGCUGCUUUAUCCUGAAAGUGAAAGGGCUUCCGUUCGUGCGGUACUCAAUUUCCACAAAUCAUCGAUUGCCGCAAAGCCGUGGCAAAAGGGAUGCGAGUUCCCCGUUACGGUUACGGCUUGGAAUCAAUCGAAUCGGAAACUGUCAUGUGUGUGUGUGUGUGUGUGUGUGUGUGUGAGGUCUCCCGGGCUGCCACACAGCUUCUCCAUCCGCUCAGAGACGCUAUCACGCUUCAUUUCGUGAUUGUAACUGAUUUUCGCAAUUCGCCUGACCCGGCGGCGGGAGAACAUCUGGUGAAACGAG